UGGGGAAUAUUGGACAAUGGGGGAAACCCUGAUCCAGCGACGCCGCGUGUGUGAAGAAGGCCUGCGGGUUGUAAAGCACUUUUAGUGGGGACAAAAAGCUACGGAUUAAUACUCUGUGGUCUUGAUUUAACCCAAAGAAUAAGCACCGACUAACUACGUGCCAGCAGUCGCGGUAAUACGUAGGGUGCAAGCGUUGUUCGGAAUUACUGGGCGUAAAGUAUAUGUAGGCGGUCUUUUAAGUUAGAAGUGUAAUCCCUGGGCCCAACUCAGGAACUGCUUCUAAGACUAUUAGGCUUGAAUGUGGUAGAGGAUAGUGGAAUUCUUGGUGUAGGGGUAAAAUCCAUAGAUAUCAAGAGGAACACCGAAAGCGAAGGCAGCUAUCUGGGCCAUUAUUGACGCUGAGAUAUGAAAGCGUGGGGAGCAAACAGGAUUAGAUACCCUGGUAGUCCACGCCGUAAACGAUGAGUGCUAGGUGCUGGUAUCCUUGUGAUUUCAGUGCCGAAGCUAACGCGUUAAGCACUCCGCCUGGGGACUACGGUCGCAAGACUA
rnacentral:rRNA from 1 species